rnacentral:rRNA from 1 species
UGGGGAAUUUUUCGCAAUGGGCGCAAGCCUGACGAAGCAACGCCGCGUGGGGGAUGAAGGUCUUCGGAUCGUAAACCCCUGUCGACCGGGACGAAAGCAUCCGACCUAACACGUCGGCGUGUUGACUGUACCGGUGGAGGAAGCCACGGCUAACUCUGUGCCAGCAGCCGCGGUAAUACAGAGGUGGCAAGCGUUGUUCGGAAUUACUGGGCGUAAAGGGCGCGUAGGCGGUCUUGUAAGUCCCGUGUGAAAGCCCCCGGCUCAACUGGGGAGUGGCACGGGAAACUGCGAGGCUUGAGUUCGGGAGAGGGAAGCGGAAUUCCGGGUGUAGCGGUGAAAUGCGUAGAUAUCCGGAGGAACACCGGUGGCGAAGGCGGCUUCCUGGACCGACACUGACGCUGAGGCGCGAAAGCUAGGGGAGCAAA